AUUGAACGCUGGCGGCAGGCCUAACACAUGCAAGUCGAGCGGAGCGGCGGACGGGUGCGUAAUGUAUCGGAACGUGCCCAGUAGCGGGGGAUAACUACGCGAAAGCGUAGCUACUACCGCAUACUCUUGUAGCGGCCUAUAUCGUAUUAGCUCGUUGGUGGGGUAACGGCUCACCAAGGCGACGAUCCGUAGCUGGUUUGAGAGGAACACCAUCAAAACUGGGACUGAGACACGGCGCAGACUCCGACGGGAGGCAGCAGUGGGGAAUAUUGGACAAUGGGGGCAACCCGGAUGCAGCCACCGCGCGUGUGCGAUGAAGGACUUCGGGUUGUAAAGCACUUUUGGCAGGAAAGCGGUAACUGCAGAAUAAGCACCGGCUAACUACGUGCCAGCAGCCGCGGUAAUAC
rnacentral:rRNA from 1 species